GCCAAACUGUUUCAUAUCCCUCAUUUUAUUUCAAAGGCCGGCCUUCUUCCACAUCUGCCCUAUCCAGUGUGCUCUGAGCCCCUGGUGUGCUGAAUCCUAAGAGAAGUACCCGAUCCCUGAGAGCAGAAUGGGAGCAUAUUUAAUGUCAGUGGACUGAGAUGGGGCAAGUGACAGAUACUGGCCCAGCCCAAGGUGCAGUGGGCAAGAUGUUGAGAAUUUUCCCCAGAAAUUGAUACCAGUGUGCAGCAAGCCUACUUCACAAUGUAGCUAAAG